rnacentral:snRNA from 1 species
AGAUGUGAGGGCGAUUUGGCUGCGACGUCUGUCACCCUAUUGAUCGCCAGGGUUGAUUCAGCUGAUCUGGCUGGCUAGUUGGUGUCCCCUUCCUUCCUCACUGCUCCAUGUGCAUCCCUCCCAAAGCUGGUUGAAGAGGACCUCCUUCUGUGGAGGGUAUUAUGAGUAGCUGAGCUCCCCUUCUAGAACCUCCAAACAAGCUCUCAAAAAAAUGUUUGGUGUUUAUAUAGGGGUUUUAAAAUUGACCUUCCACCUUCUGUACCCCACAAUGAUCCUGGGU